UGUUUGUGUUAUUUCCACCUGCAACCGGAGAGACUCCAGACCCCUGAGCCCCACAGACGUUGUGACGGUUACCGUGACAAUGACAGACCUCGUCGCUCUCCAUCACCUCGUUACAGGCGCAGUCGCUCACCCCGACGGAGGAGCAGAUCUCCAAAGAGGCGAAGCCCAUCGCCCCGGAGAGACCGCCAUCGCAGCAAGAGCCCCCGCUGACACCGCAGCAGGUCCAGAGAAAGACGUCACCGCUCCAAAUCCCCAGGU